CCUACGGGAGGCAGCAGUGGGGAAUAUUGGACAAUGGGCGCAAGCCUGAUCCAGCAAUGCCGCGUGAGUGAUGAAGGCCUUAGGGUCGUAAAGCUCUUUUACCAGGGAUGAUAAUGACAGUACCUGGAGAAUAAGCUCCGGCUAACUCCGUGCCAGCAGCCGCGGUAAUACGGAGGGAGCUAGCGUUGUUCGGAAUUACUGGGCGUAAAGCGUACGUAGGCGGUUAUUCAAGUCAGAGGUGAAAGCCCGGGGCUCAACCCCGGAACGGCCUUUGAAACUAGGUAGCUAGAAUCUUGGAGAGGUCAGUGGAAUUCCGAGUGUAGAGGUGAAAUUCGUAGAUAUUCGGAAGAACACCAGUGGCGAAGGCGACUGACUGGACAAGUAUUGACGCUGAGGUACGAAAGCGUGGGGAGCAAAACAGGAUUAGAUACCCUGGUAGUCCACGCCGUAAACGAUGAUAACUAGCUGUCCGGGCACUUGGUGCCUGGGUGGCGCNGACUACGACAUUAAGUUAUACCGUCCGUCGGGAGGUACGGUCGCGAGAAGUAAAACUAACAAAUAGAAGUUAGUAACGGUCGUGUUAGACGUGCCGAACGGACGACCGACGAGGGGAGGUUAGGG
rnacentral:rRNA from 1 species